CUGCCAGCAGCCAAGGAGGAAGAAGCUCUCCUGGAGGAAGCUAAGUGAAGAGGCUUGACUGCCCAUUCAGUUUCUGAGCAAUGUAGGAACUGGGGCUAGUGAAGACCAGCCUCUGCAUCUCAGAAAGGAAGAUACAGAAGUGAGAAGAGAGUAUGUUAGUAAGAACUCCUGGAUGUACAAACCUAUUUGGAUUAAAGCAAACUAACAGUUAUCUAAACCCCACCAAUGAGCUGAAAUUGCUUCUAUCACACACGGCUCUAGUGAUUGCAGCAAGUACAAGAUACUGCAGAUGCAUUUAAGAAGUUGGACAUUUUUAAUAUGUGAGUACAAAAAGAAAGCAGCUCUUUCCUAUCUUGUGUAUAAUAUUUCUGACUU